GAGCCAAUGAUGAAAUAAAAGGUUAAUUACUUAUUGGUUUUUCCAUGAAGUUAUCCUAAUCGAGCUUUUUAAAACUGAUGCUCA